ACGCUCGACACCUACGGGAGGCAGCAGUCGGGAAUAUUGCGCAAUGGAGGAAACUCUGACGCAGUGACGCCGCGUAUAGGAAGAAGGUUUUCGGAUUGUAAACUAUUGUCGUUAGGGAAGAAAAAGACAGUACCUAAGGAGGAAGCUCCGGCUAACUACGUGCCAACAGCCGCGGUAAUCUGAGCGGGCUGGCAAGGC
rnacentral:rRNA from 1 species